ncrna:unclassified sequences DTF805b RNA
AAGGAGAAUGCCGAAAAUCCUAAAAAGAGUAGGUA